rnacentral:rRNA from 1 species
GAGCGCCCCGCAAGGGGAGCGGCAGACGGGAGAGUAACACGUGGGAACGUACCCUUCAGUUCGGAACAACCCAGGGAAACUUGGGCUAAUACCGAAUACGUCCGUAAGGAGAAAGAUUUAUCGCUGAAGGAUCGGCUCGCGUCUGAUUAGCUAGUUGGUGAGGUAACGGCUCACCAAGGCUACGAUCAGUAGCUGGUCUGAGAGGAUGAUCAGCCUCACUGGGACUGAGACACGGCCCAGACUCCUACGGGAGGCAGCAGUGGGGAAUAUUGGACAAUGGGCGCAAGCCUGAUCCAGCCAUGCCGCGUGGAUGAUGAAGGCCCUAGGGUUGUAAAGUCCUUUCGGCGGGGAAGAUAAUGACGGUACCCGCAGAAGAAGCCCCGGCUAACUUCGUGCCAGCAGCCGCGGUAAUACGAAGGGGGCUAGCGUUGCUCGGAAUCACUGGGCGUAAAGCGCACGUAGGCGGCUUUUUAAGUCAGGGGUGAAAUCCUGGAGCUCAACUCCAGAACUGCCUUUGAUACUGAGAGGCUUGAGUCCGGGAGAGGUGAGUGGAACUGCGAGUGUAGAGGUGAAAUUCGUAGAUAUUCGCAAGAACACCAGUGGCGAAGGCGGCUCACUGGCCCGGUACUGACGCUGAGGUGCGAAAGCGUGGGGA